rnacentral:lncRNA from 1 species
CUUAAGAGCCUCCUGUAUAUAUUUUUGCUUUCUUGCCAGUUUUUAUACAAUGCAACUGGAUGCCUGAUGACUAGGCAACCUGUGGAUACUGUCUCCAGCAUAGUAUCUCCAGUGAAAUGUUUACGUAGAAGAAUGCCACUGUGUCUUGGAAACAAGAAAGUGAAAUGGUGCAGCAAUGAGUGCGGCUUCAUUAUUCUUCCAGUGAAUGAUAGCACAGAAUGAACAAUUCUCAGGAUAGGAAAAGAACAGACUUUUUCUCUGCGAGGUGAUGCUGAGUCACUGACCAUGGUUCCCAGGGUGAGGCUGAGUCACAGCUGACGCUCUCAUGGGUGACCCAGGCAAGAGCAUGGGCUGGAACCUCCGUUGAAGAUGAAUGCUCUCUGUUCCAGAGGCUGGGCUGAAGCUCUGAAGGCUUGCUAUAUAAGGGUGGAGUGAAGCUGCCAGAAAACGUAAUAAUUGAGGUGAUUAUGAGUGCCUUUUCAUUGCCACUGCUUCAUGCCAAGUAUCUUGGGAAGGAAAAAGUGGGGCCUUAUGAAUAAAUGAUCACUUAAAAUAUUUAAGUAGAUGACUAUAAUAUGCAACUUUAAAAUACUUUGCUUUACAUGUUUCUUGCAAAGUAUGGGAGAAGCUAAGUAGUUUAGACCUCUGGUAGCUUGAAAUAUAUAAAUCCUCCUUUAAGAAAGCUCAUUUGAACUUACAAGAGUAACAGACAAUUUGGGGCUUUCCAGGUAGUUCAGUGGUAAAGGAUCCUCCUGCCAAUGCAGGACUCAAAAGAGGCAGGUUUGAGCCCUGGGUUAGGAAGAUCCCUUGGAGGAGGCAAUGACAACCCACUCCAGUAUUUGCUUCAAAAUCCCAUGGACAGAGGAGCCUGGCAGGCUUAUAGUCCAUGGGGUCGC